AUACGUAGGUGGCAAGCGUUGUCCGGAUUUAUUGGGCGUAAAGCGAGCGCAGGCGGUUUCUUAAGUCUGAUGUGAAAGCCCCCGGCUCAACCGGGGAGGGUCAUUGGAAACUGGGAGACUUGAGUGCAGAAGAGGAGAGUGGAAUUCCAUGUGUAGCGGUGAAAUGCGUAGAUAUAUGGAGGAACACCGAUGGCGAAGGCAGCCUCCUGGGAUAACACUGACGCUCAUGCACGAAAGCGUGGGGAGCAAACAGGAUUAGAUACCCUGGUAGUCCACGCCGUAAACGAUGAGUGCUAAGUGUUGGAGGGUUUCCGCCCUUCAGUGCUGCAGCUAACGCAUUAAGCACUCCGCCUGGGGAGUACGACCGCAAGGUUGAA
rnacentral:rRNA from 1 species